rnacentral:rRNA from 1 species
UACGGGGGGAGCAAGCGUUGUUCGGAUUUACUGGGCGUAAAGGGCGCGUAGGCGGUCGUGACAAGUCACUUGUGAAAUCUCCGGGCUUAACUCGGAACGGUCAAGUGAUACUGUCGGACUAGAGUACAGAAGGGGCAACUGGAAUUCUCGGUGUAGCGGUGAAAUGCGUAGAUAUCGAGAGGAACACCUGCGGCGAAGGCGGGUUGCUGGGCUGAUACUGACGCUGAGGCGCGUAAGCCAGGGGAGCGAACGGG